GUACUAAGCUUAUGUCCAUCAGUAUUUUUCACAUAAGCAGGGCAACCCCAAAUCUUAAAAUAUUUAAGAUUGAUCCUCUUCUCUUUCCAUAUCUCAUAUAGAGUGCUAGAAACAGACUUAGUACUUUGUUCAAAAUAUAUGCUGCGAUCUUGAGGGUAUAUCCCCAGAAGGAGAUUGAAUGAUCCGUGAAACACAUCAUGGACCACACCAUAUCUAAUAAGGU
rnacentral:lncRNA from 1 species